rnacentral:misc_RNA from 1 species
GAAAUGCGAUAAGUAGUGUGAAUUGCAGAAUUCAGUGAAUCAUCGAAUCUUUGAACGCACAUUGCGCCCUUUGGUAUUCCAUAGGGCAUGCCUGUUCGAGCGUCGUUUCAAACCUUCAAGCCUAGCUUGGUGUUGGGUGUUUGUCCCGUCUCGUGCGCGGACUCGCCUUAAAAUCAUUGGCGGCAGACAUCGUGGCUAAUUGCGCAGCAGAUACGCGCCUGACGCUGGAUGUCGGCUCUCCACGAGCAUAGCCUCUUUUCAGUUUGACCUCGGAUCAGGUAGGGAUACCCGCUGAACUUAA